UACGUAGGGGGCAAGCGUUGUCCGGAUUCAUUGGGCGUAAAGCGCGCGUAGGCGGCUCGGAAAGUCGGGCGUGAAAUGCCGGGGCUCAACCCCGGGACUGCGUCCGAUACUUCCGAGCUGGAGGUAGGUAGGGGAGAUCGGAAUUCCUGGUGUAGCGGUGAAAUGCGUAGAGAUCAGGAAGAACAUCGGUGGCGAAGGCGCUCUGCUGGACCAUAACUGACACUCAGGGACGAAAGCUAGGGGAGCGAAUGGG
rnacentral:rRNA from 1 species